rnacentral:rRNA from 1 species
CCUACGGGCGGCAGCAGUGAGGAAUAUUGGUCAAUGGGCGCGAGCCUGAACCAGCCAAGUAGCGUGAAGGAUGACUGCCCUACGGGUUGUAAACUUCUUUUAUAAGGGAAUAAAGUGAGGCACGUGUGCCUUUUUGUGUGUACUUUAUGAAUAAGGAUCGGCUAACUCCGUGCCAGCAGCCGCGGUAAUACGGAGGAUGCGAGCGUUAUCCGGAUUUAUUGGGUUUAAAGGGAGCGUAGAUGGGUUGUUAAGUCAGUGGUGAAAGUUUGCGGCUCAACCGUAAAAGUGCAAUUGAAACUGGCAGCCUUGAGUACAGGUGAGGUAGGCGGAAUGCGUGGUGUAGCGGUGAAAUGCUUAGAUAUCACGAAGAACUCCGAUUGCGAAGGCAGCCUACUAGACUGCCACUGACACUGAUGCACGAAAGUGUGGGUAUCGAACAGGAUUAGAUACCCGAGUAGUC